CUGUUUCGCCAGGACAGGAAGUGACCUCUUACAGUAAACAGCGCGUCACCUGUGUCAACAAGAAACGUGGAUACGUUCUGAUUGCAACGUUUGUCCCCCCCCCCCCCCUCGAGAAUGAACGCCGCCUUUCUCCCAGGAGACAACAAGUGGAAAAGCAGGAAGGUUCCUAUCAACAGAGUCUCCCGGUCAAGAAGAACCUGGACGUCCGUGUGACCUGACACCCCCCACUUCCCCCCCAUGUAAGGUGAUUCGGUGGUUGAACCUGCAUGUCGGAACAUGACCAUGAGGUAGAUAGCAUCAAUGAAGAAGAGCCUUUUUGGCCCCCAGCAGAGUGCUCAGGUACCACCACGACUCUUCAGUUUAUAUUGAAACGGACCCGUCAUGACUUGUUGGUGGCUGACUGCUCUGCAAACUAUGAACUUUUAUGGCUUUAGGCAGAACAACAAAGCUUCCACUAAGUACUAUUUGAUAA